rnacentral:rRNA from 1 species
GCUUAACACAUGCAAGUCGAGCGAGAAUCGUUUAUUGAAGGCUUCGGCUGGAAAUAGAUGAGGAAAGCGGCGAACGGGUGAGUAACGCGUGGGCAACCUGGCCUUAAGAAAAGGAUAGCCACCGGAAACGGGGAGUAAUACUUUAUGAGAAUGAAAGAGGGCAUCCUACUUUCAUUCAAAGCGAAAGCGCUUAAGGAUGGGCCCGCGUAUCAUUAGUUAGUUGGUGAGAUAACAGCCCACCAAGGCAACGAUGAUUAGCCGAUCAGAGAGGGCGAACGGCAACAUUGGAACUGAGAUACGGUCCAAACUCCUACGGGAGGCAGCAGUGGGGAAUAUUGCGCAAUGGAGAAGAACUCUGACGCAGCAAUACCGCGUGAGCGAAGAAGGUCUUCGGAUCGUAAAGCUCUGUUAUCAGGGAAGAAGAAAAUGACGGUACCUGAUGAGCAAGUCCCGGCUAACUACGUGCCAGCCGCCGCGGUAACAC